UACGAAGGUCCCAAGCGUUAUCCGGAAUUAUUGGGCGUAAAGAGCAUGUAGGCGGUUUACUAAGUUCGAUGUGAAAGCUCUAGGCCUAACCUAGAAAUUGCAUUGAAAACUGGUGAACUAGAAUACUGGAGGGGCAAGUGGAAUUCCAUGUGUAGCGGUGGAAUGCGUAGAUAUAUGGAGGAACACCAAUGGCGAAGGCAGCUUGCUGGACAGUAAUUGACGCUGAGAUGCGAAAGCGUGGGGAGCAAACAGG
rnacentral:rRNA from 1 species